rnacentral:rRNA from 1 species
UACGGAGGGUGCAAGCGUUGUCCGGAUUCAUUGGGUUUAAAGGGUGCGUAGGCGGCCUGGUAAGUCAGCGGUGAAAUCCCCCCGCUCAACGGGGGAACUGCCGUUGAUACUGCCGGGCUUGAGUUCGUGCGAGGUCGCUGGAAUGCGUGGUGUAGCGGUGAAAUGCAUAGAUAUCACGCAGAACACCGAUUGCGAAGGCAGGUGACUGGCACGCGACUGACGCUGAGGCACGAAAGUGUGGGGAGCAAAC